UGGAAUAUGGAGGUAAGGACUGGAGGUAAAGCAGCCAUCUUGUGACUGUGAGGUGACAAGAAACAGGAUGAAAGUUAGAGGAAAGUUGGAACACUGAGUUCUCUGCUGCUUGCAGCUGAAUGUACUCUGAUAAUGUGGGCCAUGAGUCCUGAGGGAUAAGGGAUGGUUCCUGCUAACCAGAAACUUAAAUAUAGGCCAACUUCUGUACUUUAUGGGGGGGGGGGAGGCGCCCCACUGAGCAAGGAGCCCAGUGUGGGACUGGAUCUCCCCAAGACCCUGGGAUCAUCGCCUGAGCAAAAGGCAGACACUCAGCUGACUGAGCCACCCAGGCAUCCCUUUAACUCUCUUGUAAUGUAUCUCACGGUUAGCCAGAUCAGAGGUGAAGAGCUGGGACUCUGGAGCUAGACUGUUUGGGUCCAAAUACUGGUUUCACGACUCAUUAGUUGAAUGACCUUGACCAUGUUAUUGGCCCUCUUUGUGUCUGUUUCCUCCUCUGUAAUACAGGCAUAAUAUACUUUCUAUAUUAUAUAGUAAUUGUGAACAUUUAAUGAGGUAGUACCUGAAACACAGUAUUAAACAAAUACUAAUUAUUAUUAGGUCAAGAAGAAAAUCUCUACCAGUCACUAAUCUCUCUUUUUAGCAAAGAGAACACAGGCAGGCAUCAGGCCCAGAGCCUUAGUUAGAAUUUAAUAAUAGUG
rnacentral:lncRNA from 1 species